GACGGAGCGCGCGGGCGUUAUUCGUUUUGAUUGGGUGUAAAGGGUACGUAGGCGGUUCUCAGAAGUCUUGGUGAAAAGUGCGGAGUGUUCCUAUGCAGUUUUCCUUUUAAAGAGAGACCUAGAGUUGUAGAUGGAUCGGGGCAAAUUCUUAUGUAGAGGUAAAAUUUUUCGAGAUAAGAAUGAACACCAGUUGGCGAAGGCGCCUUUUCGGUUACAACAGACGCUCAGGUACGGAAGCUUAGGGAGCAAACGGG
rnacentral:rRNA from 1 species